rnacentral:rRNA from 1 species
CCCCGUACCGCAAACCGACACAGGUAGAUAGGAAGAAGAUUCUAAGGCUAACGGGAGAAGGGUUGUUAAGGAACUCGGCAAGUUGACCCCGUAACUUAGGGAGAAGGGGUGCUCUUUAAGGAGAGCCGCAGAGAAUAGGCCCAAGCGACUGUUUAGCAAAAACACAGCUCUAUGCUAAAUCGAAAGAUGACGUAUAUGGGGUGACACCUGCCCGGUGCCGGAAGGUUAAGAGGAGGAGUGAGAGCUCUGAAUUGAAGCCCCGGUAAACGGCGGCCGUAACGAUAACGGUCCUAAGGUAGCGAAAUUCCUUGUCAGGUAAGUUCUGACCCGCACGAAUGGUGUAACGAUUUGGGCACUGUCUCAACAACCUGCCCGGCGAAAUUGUAGUACCGGUGAAGAUGCCGGUUACCCGCGACUAGACGGAAAGACCCCAUGGAGCUUUACUGCAGCUUAAUAUUGAAUUUCGGUAUUUCAUGUACAGGAUAGGUGGGAGACAGGGAACCAUAGGCGUCAGCUUAUGGGGAGUCGACCUUGGGAUACCACUCUUGAGGUGCUGGAAUUCUAACCUGUGGCUCUGAAUCGAGUCAGGGGACAUUGUUAGGCGGGCAGUUUGACUGGGGCGGUCGCCUCCAAAAAGGUAACGGAGGCGCUCAAAGGUUCGCUCAGCAUGGAUGGAAACCAUGCUUUUGAGUGUAAACGCAAAAGCGAGCCUAACUGCGAGACUGACGGGUCGAGCAGUAACGAAAGUUGGAGUUAGUGAUCCGGCGGUAUGUGAGUGGAAAUGCCGUCGCUCAACGGAUAAAAGCUACCCUGGGGAUAACAGGCUGAUCUCCCCCAAGAGUCCACAUCGACGGGGAGGUUUGGCACCUCGAUGUCGGCUCAUCGCAUCCUGGGGCUGAAUUCGGUCCCAAGGGUUUGGCUGUUCGCCAAUUAAAGCGGUACGCGAGCUGGGUUCAGAACGUCGUGAGACAGUUCGGUCCCUAUCUGUCGUGGGCGUAGGAUAUUUGAAAGGAGCUGUCCCUAGUACGAGAGGACCGGGAUGGACGCACCGCUGGUGCACCAGUUGUCAUGCCAAUGGCACAGCUGGGCAGCUAUGCGCGGAACGGAUAAACGCUGAAGGCAUCUAAGCGUGAAGCCGACCUUAAGAUAAGAUAUCCCUUCGUAAGAGUAAGACCUCUCAUAGACUAUGAGUUUGAUAGGCCUAAGGUGUAAGCACAGUGAUGUGUUCAGCCUGCAGGUACUAAUCGGUCGAGGGCUUUUCCUA